AACACCGAGAGACAGACCCUCUUUAUCUUCAUCGUCCUCUCGCGAACAUAACCUGCCGCCUGAUAAAUACUCCACACUCCACCCCACCCCUUCACCACUUCUCUCUCUGCACAUUUCCCAUGGCCGAGUCCUCCGCCAAGCACUCUUCAGAUUUCGGUAACUGCCGCGACGGCGUCGUUCCGCACAUGAACAAGAACCCCCUCAAGUUUCAUCUCCAGAAGCUCAGCCUUGAGCUCACUUGCCCUCUCUAGUUGCCUAGGGUUUUUUAAUCGGCCGACAUUGCUUCCAUGCAAUCACAUCUUCUGCAAGUUCGUCUCUUUCUUCGAUUGACAUGAUUUUCAAAGUUCUGAUCUUUUUCUUGCUUUGGGUUUUACUUGCAGCACCUGUGUACCCAAUCGGACCAAUUUUGGAGCAGAGUGCCCUCUGUGUAAUAUCCAAGUUCCCGGUCAAGUUUCAAGUAAGCUGCGUUUGAAAUUCUGAGGGUCAAGGGCUGUAUAAGUAUCAGAC